CCUGGAGAGCCAUUUCCUCGUGGCAGAACACCUCGGCGGCGCUAUCAGCGGUGACGUGUUUCCAGUAAAAUAUAAAAGCAGCCCCGGCAUUUCAAGGCAAUUACACAGAAGGGUCAAGAGAUAGAGGCCGGCACAGAGGAGCUGGACAACAUCACAUCUCCUAAUGCAUUGGGAUAACAUGACAAGGCUCUCCAUCACGCCGUGCAGGGAACAUCGGAAGGGAGCAGCACAAGCGGGCGUCCUCCCAGAGAGCAGGAAGGAGCCACUUGGUCUCUUGAACUUUCCCCUCUGAUUGAAGAUCCUUCUCGGGGUUUUGGCCAUUUCUCCAUCUCGUGCAGACAACGCUCCGAGUGACGGCGCUGAUGUUUCAUCUGUGAUGCAGCACGGGUCAGCAGCCCAGGACGGACGUGGGAGCUGUGGGAAGGUGCAGCAGAGCAGCUGGGAGCCCUGCAUGCAGCUGGCCUUCGGUUUAACAGCAUACAAUGGGGCCUCAGUGCCACGCAUUCCCCAUGAGCUCAGACUUUCCUUGCUUGCAAAGCGCUGUCACUGAGCAGCACUGCCCCAAAAUGCGGCCCCCCAGCAGCGCUCCCCGCUUUGCCGCCUGCAGCCCUGCACGCUGUGUGUCUUUUCCCAGCAGCCCUGUGUUAAUUUUAGCUGUGCUGAGGCUCUGGGCAGGCAGCAGGCGUCCCGUCCCAGGAGCCUCAGAGCAAAGCAGUUUGCUGUGGUCUGAGAACUUAACCCUGGUUUGCGGGGGAUUGGGACACGGCUGGAGCUGCCUGGCAGUGCUGGAGGAAGGGGAGGGUUCUGUCCACACCCCAAGCUCAGAGCAGAGCCAUCAGACCUCCCUGCUUCCUAACACCAAGCCUGAAAACAUUUGCAAACUCUUCCUGAUCCUGCUCGGGGCCACUGGAGAGUUGAGCAGCGACAAAGGGGAAGGCUGUGCAGAGCCACAUGGCUGCUUUUAACCCAGUAACAUCCUCUUUCAUUGGGCCUAAGCCGUUCCUUGUGCUUGGGAGGAACCAAGGAGGCAGCAGGCUGCAUUAAAGCUGACAAAGCCUGUGUUCAACAGCAGCUCUGUAUUGCCCAAGCUGAAGUUCGGCGAUGCCGUGCCAAGAGAUGAUGCCAACCGUGGGAGGGAACCAAUCCAAAGCUAUGGGAAAAACAUUUUUGAGAAGAAACAUCACCUCUGAAACCACAUAAACAAAUCCAUUUUGACACAACUAAACAGAGAGCUCUAAAAGGAAAGUUUGGGAAAAACAGCACUAAUUGGGUGGUGAUUCAUAUGGUGCCGGUCAGACUGUGUUUUUGUAAUCUCCAUUCCUGGGGGAUGAUUUUCAAAGCGCAGAGGAAUGUAGAAGCAGCCUGGCCAGAUGUGGGCUGGAAGACAGAGAGGAGCAAACAGUGCUGAGAGCAGAGGGGCAGCAGCAGAAGAGCCGGGGGCUCCCAGAAAAAACAGCAAAGUGAAUGGGAUCAUCCCAAAGCAGGGCAUGAGAUGCUUCAUCCACUGCCCUGUGCCAGCUGGGGGCAAUGGGAGCAGGGCUGCUUUGCUCAGGUGUCCCAGUGCUGGAGGUGACGCUGUGCCCACAGCAUCUGCUGCAUCUGAGCUGUGUUUUCACUGGGAAGAGCAGAGCAUAAAAGCCACGGCCAGGCAGCUGCAUGAGAAACUAAUCGCUUUUAAUCUGGUUAGAAAACUUCAGCCCUUGGGGGAAAACAGCACAGCUUUCUGGAGCUUGGACCACUGGCUGUCAGGUUUGGAAGAAAUAAAUUAAAUUUGUAUUAGGGUCUGCAAUCACUUCUCUGCUUUGAGAGGCUAUUUCAGAGAGCAGGAGAGCAAUAACCUGCGAGGAGAUGAAAUCCAUAGCAGAGGUGCAGUUCCUCUGCGCACUGAAAUGGCCCCAUUACCAGGAAUACAGUUCCAAAAAGAUCAGCCCUUAUUGGCCUCCAAUUUUUGUUUUUCUUUUUCAAAAGAUCUGUUUCUCCAGGACGCCGUCUCAGGUGGCAAUAAAACGUUAUGGGCUGCACACUCUGAGGAACACAGAGAUCCCAGAGAGCCUUUGUACAAAUGCGUGCCGGGUCUGUAACUCAAAACCCAUUGAAUUCCCUGCAUUAAACAGGGGAGUCAUGCAGAGGCCCUUCUCCAAUCCCAUCUCAUCUGUCAUGAAAAACCACUGCUUUCCAUAACCUACAGCCGGCAAAGACAGAAAAAGGAGCAUUUUUUCCCCAGCCUCUGUUUUUAGCUGUGGUUUUAACUGUGGUUUUCAGUGCUAUCCAAACAGCAGCAGCUGUUGGAUGCAACGCGGCAGCUCCAGCUCCACGCACACCAUGCACACCCUGCCCAGCCCAGGGAACCCAAAUCACCAGGUUCUGCAGGUCCCUCCCCUUCCUGAGCCUCAGAGACGUCGUAAAGAGAAACCAAACCAUCCCUUGGCCCCCACACGCUCCCUUUGAAGGAGGCUCACGGCCGUGGGAGGUUUCUGCAAAGCUUCUUAGAAAAGCUCCUUGAGGUCGGGCUGACUCAGUGCUUCCCAAAAGGCAGCUGAUCACAUUGUGGAGAGCAGCUGCCGAGCACCGCC